CCUACGGGUGGCAGCAGUGAGGAAUAUUGGUCAAUGGGCGGGAGCCUGAACCAGCCAAGCCGCGUGAGGGAAGAAGGUACAGCGUAUCGUAAACCUCUUUUGUCAGGGAACAAAGGCGGGGACUAGUCCCCGGAUGAGGGUACCUGAAGAAAAAGCAUAGGCUAACUCCGUUCCAGCAGCCGCGGUAAUACGGAGGAUGCGAGCGGUUUCCGGAUUUAUUGGGUUGAAAGGGUGGGCAGGCGUCCUGUUAAGUCAGCGGUAAAAGCGCGGGGCUAAACCCCGGCGAGCCGUUGAAACUGGCGGGGUGGAGUUGGAGAGAAGUACGCGGAAUGAGCGGGGUAGCGGUGAAAUGCUUAGAUAUCG
rnacentral:rRNA from 1 species